rnacentral:rRNA from 1 species
CAUGUGGUUUAAUUCGAUGAUACGCGAGGAACCUUACCUGGGCUUAAAUGGGGAGUGACAGCUGUCGAAAGAUGGUUUUCUUCGGACACUCUUCAAGGUGCUGCAUGGUUGUCGUCAGCUCGUGCCGUGAGGUGUCGGGUUAAGUCCCAUAACGAGCGCAACCCUUACCGUUAGUUACCAUCAGGUUAAGCUGGGGACUCUAGCGGGACUGCCACCGUAAGGUGAGAGGAAGGUGGGGAUGACGUCAAAUCAGCACGGCCCUUAUGCCCAGGGCUACACACGUGUUACAAUGGCCAGUACAAAGGGCAGCUACCGGGUGACCGGAUGCUAAUCUCUAAAGCUGGUCUCAGUUCGGAUCGAAGUCUGCAACCCGACUUCGUGAAGCUGGAUUCGCUAGUAAUCGCGCAUCAGCCAUGGCGCGGUGAAUACGUUCCCGGGCCUU